UGUCAUGACGUGGUGGAGUGUCACGAC
rnacentral:sRNA from 1 species